UGGCACAUAGCAGCCCUUAAGGCAGUGGUUCGCCGUCGUGGAGUGUCGGGGGCGGAGGUUCAAACCCUCUCGUGCUGACCA
rnacentral:tRNA from 1 species